rnacentral:rRNA from 1 species
ACGGAGGAUGCGAGCGUUAUCCGGAUUUAUUGGGUUUAAAGGGUGCGUAGGUGGACUGUUUAGUCAGUGGUGAAAUGCUGAUGCUCAACGUUAGCAUUGCCGUUGAAACUGACAGUCUUGAGAGUGAUUGAGGCAGGCGGAAUGUGUGGUUGGGGGGGUAAAAUACAAAGAUCCCACCAAGAACCCCAAUGGCGAGGGCAUCUCACAAAGCCACAACUGACACUGAAGCACGAAAGCGUGGGGAUCAAACAG